AACGAACGCUGGCGGCAGGCCUAACACAUGCAAGUCGAACGCUCCGCAAGGGGAGCGGCGCACGGGUGAGUAACGCGUGGGAAUCUACCUAUUAGUAAGGAAUAACAGUUGGAAACGACUGCUAAUACCUUAUACGCCCUACGGGGGAAAGAUUUAUCGCUAAUAGAUGAGCCCGCGUAAGAUUAGCUAGUUGGUGAGGUAAUGGCUCACCAAGGCUACGAUCUUUAGCUGGUCUGAGAGGAUGAUCAGCCACACUGGAACUGAGACACGGUCCAGACUCCUACGGGAGGCAGCAGUGGGGAAUAUUGGACAAUGGGCGAAAGCCUGAUCCAGCCAUGCCGCGUGAAUGAUGAAGGCCUUAGGGUUGUAAAGUUCUUUCGCCGCCGGGGAUAAUGACGGUAAGCGGAUAAGAAGCCCCGGCUAACUUCGUGCCAGCCGCCGCCGUAA
rnacentral:rRNA from 1 species